AUUGAACGCUGGCGGCAUGCCUUACACAUGCAAGUCGAACGGCAGCGCGGGAGCAAUCCUGGCGGCGAGUGGCGAACGGGUGAGUAAUACAUCGGAACGUGCCCAAUCGUGGGGGAUAACGCAGCGAAAGCUGUGCUAAUACCGCAUACGAUCUACGGAUGAAAGCAGGGGAUCGCAAGACCUUGCGCGAAUGGAGCGGCCGAUGGCAGAUUAGGUAGUUGGUGAAGUAAAGGCUCACCAAGCCUUCGAUCUGUAGCUGGUCUGAGAGGACGACCAGCCACACUGGGACUGAGACGCGGCCCAGACUCCUACGGGAGGCAGCAGUGGGGAAUUUUGGACAAUGGGCGAAAGCCUGAUCCAGCCAUGCCGCGUGCAGGAUGAAGGCCUUCGGGUUGUAAACUGCUCUUGUACGGAACGAAACGGUCUUUUCUAAUAAAGAAGGCUAAUGACGGUACCGUAAGAAUAAGCACCGGCUAACUACGUG
rnacentral:rRNA from 1 species